UUUGGUUUUAAUGUAAUUUUAAAUUAACAUUUUUAAUUUACUAAUUUAUUUAACAGUUCCAUUAUGAUGCUAAAUAAUUUAUGAAAAAAUAACAUUGGUAAAUUUACAAGCAGAGACAAACGCCCAUUACAAUCUAAAGCAGAAUUGUACUUUCAGACAAACGUUUAUGGGGGGAAAAACUAUUUUGAAGUAAUAGAAAAAUGUGCAAAUAUAACAAGUACUGCUUAACAAUGAGAAUACAAUACACAUUGAGUAUGGUGAAGAUAGAAUCUAGAAGCAAUGCUUUUCAUCACAAUGCGUUGAAUAAGGAGAAAAUAGAAGAUAAUUAGUAUACCUGUAAGUAAGUAAAAUAUCAAGACAAGAAUAGAGACGAAGUGGUUGAUAAGAAGCAAGAAGUCAUAAGUCAAGUGGGCCUGCAGAGAAGGGAAGGUGGUGUUAAAGGGAAGUGCUCCAGCAUCAAUUUAAAUUUGUAUGGAAGAGUUGAAUUAGGAGGUAGUAAAAAGCCUAGUUAGUGACCUUAGUGCUCGGAAUCAGGGAAUAUUGGGAGACUUAUAACGUCAGAUAUGUUGAGCUGUGAGGGACAAGUGAUGGACUGGCUUAGGAAGGUACGGGGCAGGCUUCCGUGAAGAGGAGUGCUUUUAGAAGUUUGUGGUAAAAUGACAGAGAGAAGGAAGGUUGGAUAUGAGGACGGAGCUUCUUCCGGUGGUAGGGAGCUAACAGGAAAAAUCAAAGAAUUGUAAGGAAGCGCAUGGGUGUGAGGAUUGGGUAAGAGAGGUGGAGUUAAGGGAGAGGAGAUAAGUGAAGAGAGGUAGGGAGGAGCAAGGUCAUGAAUGGAUCUGAAUACGAAAGUAUCUAUAUGGCGGGGGAAGAGAACUACUAUAGAUAGAUAACAACUGUAGUGCUAGGAAUAAAAUUUAAGCAUUAUGAUGUUCCGAGUUAAAUUUUAAAACAAUGUCUACAAAACACAAAUAGCAUGAAAUGUAUGACAUUGAUUUUUUGAACCAAAUUUUUUUAAUGUGUACCAAACAUGAUUUAGUUUAAAUUUGGUUCAACCUAAAGGAACACUCCAAGCACCAUAAUCACUACAGAACACUGAAGUUGUCAGGCUGUAGUGUGGCCGAGCUCCUCUUCCUCCUGGCUGUCAGGCCGGACUGACAGGAAGUGCACACUAAGAAGGACACAGGGGGGGAGGGGAGUAAGGACACAGGGAAGGGAGGGGAAUAAGAAGGACAUAGUGAGGGGGAGUAAGAAGGACACAGUGAGGGGGAGGGGGGAGUAAGAAGGACAUGGGGAGGGGAGUAAGAAGGACA